rnacentral:lncRNA from 1 species
UUUGGCCUUCUGUUGGCAUUAUUUAUAUGUUUAUUCGCUCUCCAGGCUUGUAAACAUCAUGAAGGAAGGAUCUACCCACAAUUGGCUUUGAAUUCUGCACAAUGACUAGUAUAUCACUUUGUAUCAAGCAAUAGUUCCCCCUUGUAAAUGAAUUCCUGUGGCUACCACGUCAAUCUCCUAGGUAUUGCUUUGGCACACUCAAAGAAUAUAAUCUUACAGAAUUCUUUCAAGAACCACCUUAGUUGUGUACAUAAGGGCCAAGUGUCUAGUAACUUGCUCAGGACCCAUGGAGUUAGCAAGUGACAUAAUCAAGAUUUGAAUCCAGGACUCCUGCACUGUUAUCCUGCCCAGCCACUAAUUAUAAGGUUUGAUAUUACUACCUUUUCUCUUACUCUGAACAACCUGGGACUUUGAAGACAAUGUCAUUUUAGGAAAGUUUCUAAAAAAAAAAUAAAAAAGGAAAGUUUCUAAAC